CCAGACUGCACCCUGCCUGAGCUGUUUCUCUCAUGGACCAACCACCACUGCUAUGACCACGGUUAGCACUGAUGGGGACGUCUACUUUCCAUCGGGAGCUCCACAGAGACCACAAGCAGCACAUGGAAAAAUUCACCCACUGAGAUGGCACAGCUCCCUGAAAAACUGGACCUGCAGAUCCCUUCUUCCUGUAAGAGGAUCGAAG
rnacentral:lncRNA from 1 species